rnacentral:rRNA from 1 species
AUUGAACGCUGGCGGCAUGCUUUACACAUGCAAGUCGAACGGCAGCGCGGGCUUCGGCCUGGCGGCGAGUGGCGAACGGGUGAGUAAUGCAUCGGAACGUGCCCAGUAGUGGGGGAUAGCCCGGCGAAAGCCGGAUUAAUACCGCAUACGACCUGAGGGUGAAAGCGGGGGACCGAAAGGCCUCGCGCUAUUGGAGCGGCCGAUGUCGGAUUAGCUAGUUGGUGGGGUAAAGGCUUACCCAGGCGACGAUCCGUAGCUGGUCUGAGAGGACGACCAGCCACACUGGGACUGAGACACGGCCCAGACUCCUACGGGAGGCAGCAGUGGGGAAUUUUGGACAAUGGGGGCAACCCUGAUCCAGCCAUGCCGCGUGCGGGAAGAAGGCCUUCGGGUUGUAAACCGCUUUUGUUCGGGAAGAAAUCCUCUGGGAUAAUACCCCGGGGGGAUGACGGUACCGGAAGAAUAAGCACCGGCUAACUACGUG